UUUAAAUUGAGAGUUUGAUCCUGGCUCAGGACGAACGCUGGCGGCGUGCCUAACACAUGCAAGUCGA
rnacentral:rRNA from 3 species